rnacentral:rRNA from 1 species
GAGUUUGAUCAUGGCUCAGGAUGAACGCUGGCGGCAUGCCUAACACAUGCAAGUUGAACGAGAAGUUUUGGAGGGAGUCUUCGGACAAGCGAAGGAAUGGAAAGUAGCGAACGGGUGAGUAACGCGUGGGCAACCAACCUUACACAGGGGGAUAACGCAGAGAAAUUUGCGCUAAUACCGCAUAAGCGCACAGUACCGCAUGGUACCGUGUGAAAAACUCCGGUGGUGUAAGACGGGCCCGCGUCUGAUUAGUUAGUUGGUGAGGUAAAAGCUCACCAAGGCGACGAUCAGUAGCCGACCUGAGAGGGUGAUCGGCCACAUUGGGACUGAGACACGGCCCAAACUCCUACGGGAGGCAGCAGUGGGGGAUAUUGCACAAUGGAGGGAACUCUGAUGCAGCAAUGCCGCGUGAAGGAAGACGGUUUUCGGAUUGUAAACUUCUAUCAGCAGGGAAGAAAAUGACG